rnacentral:lncRNA from 1 species
AGAAGGAUAGAGUUGUGCAUUUAUAGGAAUGAACGUGCAUGCGUAUAUAUAUUUAAGCACGUAUGGGUACUAUAUUUUGGAAAAAAAAAUGCAUAUAUAUGAUGGUGCGGCAUAUAUGUACGUAUGGACCUAACUUGCUGCAGCGCAGGCGGAUUGAAAAGAAAGAAAGGGAGCCAAGGCUUGGAACUAACGACGUUGCCGUUGCCCAUCAUGCAUGCAUCCUCAUCUAAGCUUAUUUUGCUCUCUCUCUCUCUCUCUCUCUCUCUCUCUCUCUCUCUCUCUCUCUCUCUCUCUCUCAUGGAGCUAGCUACAUGCAUGAUAGCGAGAUGUCGAUCCUGGGCUGGAUUGGCAGCAGGCCGGAGCUUUUUGACCGAUUAGGAUGUGUCGUGGACGUGCUAUAUCAUCCGAGCAUCUCGCAGGGGCCCGCGCCGCAACAGUAUUCCUGAUCGCUACUACCUCCAUCCCUCCCCUCCUCCCACGCACGUUCGAGAUAGCGAAUAAUAUCACCGAUCCAUCUCAGUAUCUCACCUCACCCCGGCCAUCUCUCCAAAUGAAAAGCCCAACUAGCUAGCGCUAAAGGGAAAUAAAACUGAUCUAAAAAAAAAGAGGAAAUAAAACUGCUGCUUCGUUUCACUUGCCAUUAUUUUCCUUCCGGUCAUAUCUAUAGUUAUUAGGACCGUGACACCAUGAAAAUGACCUUGCUUAAUUGAUAUGCAUACUCCAUUAAGCAACCAUUCAUACCUACAAUUUUACUUCACUUUUCCACAUUUAUGUUUAUCCCCCUUUGCUUCAAAAGGUGAAUGAAAAAUGUAUCCAUAUAUAUAUACACACACAUAGACGUUCAUUCUUAAUUCACAAACUGUCCCCAACUCAAAUACGAACC